GGAUUUAGCUCAGUGGUAGAGCGCUUGCCUAGGAAGCGUAAGGCCCUGGGUUCGGUCCCCAGCUCCA
rnacentral:tRNA from 1 species